GGUUAAGCGACUAAGCGUACACGGUGGAUGCCCUGGCAGUCAGAGGCGAUGAAGGGCGUGCUAAUCUGCGAUAAGCGCCGGUAAGGUGAUAAGCGCCGGUAAGGUGAUA
rnacentral:rRNA from 1 species